UAUAUAUUUUCAACACAUUUUGGGAGGAUCACUUGAGCCCAGGAGUUUGAGAUCAGCCUGGGCAACACAGGGAUACCCCAUCUCUUAAAUGGAAAGAGAAAAAAACAAAGCUAUUCCAAAAAUGAGGACACCCCCCUGGCGUCCGAGUCCUCACCCCGUGUGCCACACUGGCCGCCUCUGCCAUCCUCCACCUCCAGGCGCUCCUAGAGCUGUCCCUGGGCCUGUGGCUUCCAAAGGGGGCUGUAGUUGGGUCCCGCUCGCCUAGACCGCCGCCCUGGCCGCUCUUGGUGAAGGGCUUCUUGUCCAGCCCGCCUUCCUCCUCCUGGGUUUCCGUGUGACAGGUGCCCCGUCCUAUGGGGUGGUGUCUCACAUUUGCUUUGCUGUUAAAAAAUGGGGUAUACCAUCCCCGGGCCUCCAAUCACCAGCCCUGCCCCUGAAUGGGGAUGGUUCUCAGCAGCUCCUUGCUCUGGGGGCCAAGCUCCUUGUCCAGGAGGCCUUUGGAGAACUGGGGUCAGAGCUGUGGGGAGGUACAGCCCUCCUGUGCAGGCUGCCUCCCAGCUCUCCACCUGGCAGUCUUGACCCCACCCUGGUGCCUCUGCUCACUGGCACAGGUGGAUCUGGGGUUCGAGGUCUCCUCCCACUUCACCCUGACAUUCUUGUAUGUAUGGGGUCAACGCCUCCUCUCUGAAGCCCACGGGUCCUCUCCCAGCCCCAGGCUGCACCCAGUGCAGAACCUUUGCCUCCUGGCCGGAGGGACCCUUCUGCAGGCUGAUUCUAGCAGUGCCCGAUGGUGGGACCCACACCAGACAAGCCUUCGCCUCCCAGAGGCCUCCUGGCCCUCCUGUCACGGCCUCUGAGAGCCACAUCCCUAGGCCCCGUCUCCUGGUCUGCAGGCUGCAGGACCAGCUGCUCACGGCCCCCGGGGGCAAGGGCUGUAGAUGAGGGUCUCAAAGGUGGUGGGAGCACCCCUGCCCUACAGUUCCUGGGCAUUUCUUUAGAGCUUUAAAAUGGCACCUGGAGACCACCAGGCGCGGUGACUGACCACUUCUUGCUCUCAGACCGAGGUGUGGCAGGCAGGGGAUGCAGCCCAGGAGGGAGGCAGGUGGCCUGGGAGGCUCCCGGACCCUCAGGGGGCCUGUGUCUUUGGGCACUGCAGCUCCGCGCCCCACUCCUUUCCUCCAGAACAUUCCCCACUCAGGCCAGAGAAUUGUGUCUGCUCUAGGAAUGCAUCCUAGCGUGUGUACAAUCGCGCCUGGGUGUCCUGUUCUCAUGAGCAAGCGGUUUUAACCAGCAGCAUAAUUUAUACUCAUAGGACUGGGGGAAGGGCCGUUCCCGAGGCUGGGGUGCAGUGCCUUGGAAAGCACCCCCGAAACAGUAGACCUUGUAUUUUUAGUGUCCCUUGCAACCAUCCUUUGACUUAGAGCAAGAAUUUCCGCUGCUGCUACCCCCAAGAUGGGCUUCACCAGAUGUUAAUAACGUGCUUAUUUUCUCUAAGUGCUAUUUUGGCACCAGUGUUAGUUGCAAUUUAUAUUCUGCAGCAUUUGAUGCUGGGAAAAGAACCCACCCUAAUGGUCCCCAAUUGGCAGAGCUCGGCUGUUAAGCAGCGGACCAUAUGCUGCCUGCCGGAGGAGCGUGGUCAGCACUUGUCCCCGUGCCUGCGUGCGUGUGUCUGCGUGCACGUGUGCCUGCGGUUACCUGUGCCCUGUGUGUGCACAUGUGCUUGCAUGCGUGUGCCUGCGUGUACAUGUGCCUGCGUGUACCUGUGCCCUGUCUGUGCACGUGUGCCUGUGUGUACCUGUGCCCUGUGUGUGCAUGCGUGUGUGAGUCACGUCUUCCGUGUGUGUGUGUGAGGGAGAGACUGAGGGGUUGGAGGGAGGGUGGAGGGGAAAGGGUAUGUAUCCCUUUGUUCUUUAAAAGGGAGAGCCCCGACCUCUCUGGCUGCCCCCUCCUGCCUGUGCCCCCAGCUCACCCCAGACCUAGCUGCUAUUUAUUCUCCUGACCCCCUCCCAGCCCUGCGGCCCUAUGGCCCUGUUGCCUGUGACCCUGCAGCCCCGUGUCCCGCAGCCUCUGCCCCGCUGUCUGCUCCCCGUCACCAGGCAACACUGGGCCCCACCAGGCUUCCGAAGGUGGCCCAGAGCAGGCAUUUGAGCCUGAUGACCCAGAGCAAAGCUGCCUUUCUGGCCUUGAGUACUCCUUUCUGCUGUGGGAGGCUUUUCUUGUUUUCAACGGCCCGUCCAGCCCAGGGGGGCUGGGUGAGGGCCGCUUCCUUCUGCAGCAGAGGGGGCGGGCUCUAUCCCUGCCAUCUGCUGCCCCCAGAGCCCCUGCCAGGACACGGGCCUGAGCGGUUUCUUCUUCAAGAGGCCCUCCCGGGACCUGCGUGUGCACAGGGCGGGAAGACUCUCGCUGCUUUGGCCCAGGGCUGCAGCCAGGACGGGCUGAGCUACUCUGGCGCUAAAAACACACAAGGGGUGCCUGCCAGCUCAGCAGCACCCUUCUUCAACCACACCCUGUGCCUGGACCCAGAGCCGCAGGCUUUUGGACCCAGGGGACCGGGGCUGGGCCCAGGCUUGGGCCUGGAGGGCUUAUGGAGGGGCCAGACCUAGAGCAGUAGGGCUGCAACAGCUGAGGGCUGGGCCCCUGCCGGCCAAUGAAGCUCCAGACCAGUGACCUGCCCUUGGCGGUGCCAGCAAUGCUCCUGCAGGGAUGGAGGGUGCUGGAGGCCUGGAUGCGGGGACCUUGAUCCCCCAGCAGGCAGCACUGUGGCAGCCUGCCACCUCCUCUUCCCCUGUUAUCUGCUCCGUUUAGGAUCUGAAAAUUACAGAGCUUUUUUUUUUUUUUUUUUGAGAGGGAGUCUUGCUUUGUCCCCCAGGCUGGAGUGCAAUGGCACAAUCUCGGCUCACUCACUACAACCUCCGCCUCACAGGUUCAAGCGAUUCUCCCGCCUCAGCCUCACGAGUAGC